rnacentral:rRNA from 1 species
UACGAAGGGGGCUAGCGUUGCUCGGAAUCACUGGGCGUAAAGCGCACGUAGGGCGGAUUCUUAAGGUCAGGGGUGAAAUCCCGGAGCUCAACUCCGGAACUGCCUUUGAUACUGAGAGUCUCGAGUUCGGGAGAGGUGAGUGGAACUGCGAGUGUAGAGGUGAAAUUCGUAGAUAUUCGCAAGAACACCAGUGGCGAAGGCGGCUCACUGGCCCGAUACUGACGCUGAGGUGCGAAAGCGUGGGGAGCAAACAGG